rnacentral:rRNA from 1 species
UGCCAGACUCCUACGGGAGGCAGCAGUGAGGAAUAUUGGUCAAUGGGCUUACGCCUGAACCAGCCAAGUCGCGUGAGGGAAGACUGCCCUAUGGGUUGUAAACCUCUUUUGUCAGGGAGCAAUUGGCGCUACGUGUAGCGUUAUCGAGAGUACCUGAAGAAAAAGCAUCGGCUAACUCCGUGCCAGCAGCCGCGGUAAUACGGAGGAUGCGAGCGUUAUCCGGAUUUAUUGGGUUUAAAGGGUGCGUAGGCGGAAUGCCAAUUCAGCGGUAAAAUCGCGGGGCUCAACCUCGCUCCGCCGUUGAAACUGCAUCCCUUGAGUGCGCGAGAAGUAUGCGGAAUGCGUGGUGUAGCGGUGAAAUGCAUAGAUAUUGCGCAGAACUCCGAUUGCGAAGGCAGCCUACCGGCUCCUGUCUGACGCUGAGGCACGAAAGCGUGGGUAUCGAACAGGAUUAGAUACCCUAGUACGU